UAGGGAAUCUUCCGCAAUGGACGCAAGUCUGACCGAGCAACGCCGCGUGAGUGAAGAAGGUUUUCGGAUCGUAAAGCUCUUUUGUUAAGGAAGAACGAGUGUGAGAAUGGAAAGUUCAUACUGUGACGGUACUUAACCAGAAAGGGACGGCUAACUACGUGCCAGCAGCCGCGGUAAUACGUAGGUCCCGAGCGUUGUCCGGAUUUAUUGGGCGUAAAGCGAGCGCAGGCGGUUAGAUAAGUCUGAAGUUAAAGGCAGUGGCUCAACCAUUGUAGGCUUUGGAAACUGUUUAACUUGAGUGCAGAAGGGGAGAGUGGAAUUCCAUGUGUAGCGGUGAAAUGCGUAGAUAUAUGGAGGAACACCGGUGGCGAAGGCGGCUCUCUGGUCUGUAACUGACGCUGAGGCUCGAAAGCGUGGGGAGCGAACAGG
rnacentral:rRNA from 1 species